rnacentral:rRNA from 1 species
CGUGGAUUAAUACCGGAUGUGGCUGUAUGAACUGCGGUUCUAACAGUCCGGAUUCAUCGCUUCGGGAUAGAGCUCGCGGUCCAUCAGCUUGUUGGUGAGGUAACGGCUCACCAAUGCGACGAUGGAUAGCUGGUCUGAUAGGAUGACCAGUCACACUGGGACUGAGACACUGCCCAUACUCCUACGGGAGGCUGCAGUCGAGAAUCUUCCGCAAUGGGCGCAAGCCUGACGGAGCGAUGCUGCGUGCCGGACGAAGGCCUUCGGGUCGUAAACGGCUGUCACUCGGGACGAAUUUUGACGGUACCGAUAGAGGAACCCACGGCUAACUACGUGCCAGCAGGCGCGGUAAUACGUAUGUGGCGAGCGUUAUUCGGGAAUUAUUGGGCCUAGAGGGUUCGCACGUGGUACUGUAAGUCCGGUGUGAAAUCUCGAGGCUCAAGCUCGAAACUGCAUUGGAAACUGUAUUACUUGAGUGUCAGAGAUGAAAGCGGACUUCCUGGUGUAGCGGUGGAAUGCGUAGAUAUCAGGAAGAACACCGACGGCGACUGCCGCUUUCUGGCUGGCAAUUGACCCUGAUGAACGACAGCUAUGGUAGCGAACAGGAUUAGAUACCCUGGUAGUCCUAACCGUAAGCGUUGUGCACUGGAUGUGAGCCGGAUACAGGUCCCGUCAGUGUCUGAGCGAAGGCGUUAAGCGCACCGCAUGGGGACUACGCCCGCAAGGCUAAAACUCUAAGCGAAUGGACGGGGGCCCGCACAAGCGAUGGAGCAUGUGGCUCAAUUCGAGGCAACGCGAAGAACCUUACCUGGGUUUGACAUAUACCUGACCGCCGGUGAGAGCCGGAUUCUCUCGGAGCAGGUAUACAGGUACAGCAUGGCAGUCGACAGCUCGUACUGUGAAGUGUUCGGAUAAGUCCGGCAACGAGCGCAACCC